rnacentral:tRNA from 1 species
CAGGAAGUAGUUUAUUUAAAAUAUUAAUUUUGGAGAUUAAAGAAAGAUGUUAUUUCUUCUUGA